GAAAAUUCAAAAUGAUUUUCCAGCAACACACGGUGGCCGGAAAUCGCCAUAUGGCGGCGACUGCGACGACCGGAGGUCAAAACCUCUAAUUGAAACCUCUAACCUAAUCGUUACAUUCCCCUGAACGGUGAUGACAUAGAGAACGAGGCCAUGGGGGAAGGAAAUAGGAGAUAUCGAUCUUCACGGUGGUAAUAUGAAUAGUCAAAGAGUUCAAGGGUUUACCUGGAGCGACGCACGAGAUUGCAGAUUGAGAAGGCCGGAGAUGAGGGUGGCAUUGAAGACGGUGAAGAACCGAAAUCUGUUGCGAUUAGAGAACUUCGAGAAGAAACUGGAGUAGUAUCUGCCGAGAUAAUCGCCGAGGUUUCUUUGAUGAUUACAUCAACAAUGCUUUGUUGCCAUGAUGCAUCUCUUGCCAUAAGACAUGUUCUUGAGCGAUUUCAGUCUGUUGUGAUUACAUCUGGCACAUUAAACCCUAUAAAUUUGUACCCUUGUCUUCUAAAUUUUGAGCCUGUUGUAAUCCUAACCCGUGGAAGGAAAUAAAUCAGUGUAAACUUGUCUUUUUUGAGACUCAAGAUGUGGUAGAAACAACAUUGGCUCUUUACAACUACCGCAAAGCUUGUGAUUGUGGAAGAGGCGCUAUCUUUUUUACAAUUGCGAGGGAGUUUUCUUCAAUGCAUUCUUUGUGGUUUACAUACUCUCCCCAAAGCUGGCUCAUAGAGUUGUUGGGUACCUUGAGGAGGAAGCUAUACAUUCCUACACCGAGUAUUUAAAAGACAUUAAUAGUGGUGCAGUUGAAAAUGUUCUGGCUCCUUCCAUUGCAAUUGACUAUUGGAGGCUUCCCAAGGAUGCCAAAUUGAAAGAUGUUAUAACAGUCAUUCGUGCCGAUGAGGCUCACCAUCGAGAUGUUAACCAUUUUGCUUCGAUACAGACUUAAACAUAAAAGAGUUAACAUAAGAGCUGUUAAGCAUUGGUGCAGACAGAUUUUGGAAGGUCUCCUUUAUCUCCAUAGCCAGGAUCCUCCUGUCAUCCAUAGAGAUCUCAAAUGUGAUAACAUUUUCAUCAAUGGUAACCAAGGAGAAGUCAAAAUCGAUGAUCUUGGCCUCGCUGCAAUUCUCCGCAGAUCGAAUGAUGUUCACUGCGUAGAGAUUCAGUGGAGGAGAAAUAAAGAAUAUCCUUGUGGUAUGAUAGUGGGAGCAUCGACUUCGUCUGAGAAUGAGUGAUGUUCUUCUCUUAACGGCUGAUGAGAUCAUGAUUCACUGCAGUCACCGGCUUGUUACCUGUAAUCAAAAUGAUAAGCAAGUUGGUGCUUCAUAUAUCCUGAUGCUUUCUGAAAAUCCAGGCAUAUCUGAAGAAGAAAAGAAACGUCUUAUGUACUGUGUGGUUAUUGGAGGUGGUCCUACAGGGGUGGAAUUUAGUGGUGAAUUGAGUGAUUUCAUCACGAAAGUCUUUGUCACUCAAGUUUUAAACUACGUCUUCUGCAUAUCUAAAGUCUUUGUCACUCAAGUUUUUAUAUUUAGUUUUGGUUCAGGUUUAUUAGAUAUAUAAUGUACUUAGUCAAUCAUAUACUGAUGCUAUUGUCAUUGAUGUGUAGACAAUAAAAUAAUUUGUAUUCAUAAAAUUAUAGUAAUCAAAUUUUAAAUUCUUUAAAAUUGGCGCAAGUGAUUGGUGUG